rnacentral:lncRNA from 10 species
CGCAGGGAUGGGGAAACAGGGCUUCAUGGAGGAGGUGACCCUGGGGUCCAGCUGAGUAGCCGGGGAGGGAAAGAGAGAGCACCGACCCCAAGGAAGCCCUCCCUGCUGUCCAGUCCACACCCCUCAUCCACAAGGCUCGUCCUUGUGGUCAUAAGGAGCCCCAGGAGGGGGAGUAAAGAGCCAGAUGAUGGGGCCGGGCCUAGACUGGCCCUUCCUUGGCCCUGCAGGCACCGUGGGCCUGGGGCAGCCCUGAGGCCUCGCUGGGUCCCCAGCACCAUCUGCUGUGACAGGAGACUCACGGAGGCAGGACUAACACGCGCUGAAAUCCACCCCUCAGUCUACAGCCCCACGAGCUUUGAACCACAACCAACACAGACUCACGGAGGCGGGACUAACGCGCUGAAACCACGAGCUAUGAUCCACAACGAAGAUACAGAACAUUUCCGUCACCCCAGAGUUCCCAGCGCCCCUAUGGCCACCCCACCCCUCCUCCGACCUUCCUCCUGUCCCAACGGCUCAGCGUUGUCCAGAACCUCAAGUGCUUGGAAUCACCCAGGGCCUUGGAGUCUGGCGUCUUUCAGCAGCAAGCCUGCCUUCAAGAACCUGCAUCUUAGAGAAGACCCAGGGGAGGCCUGAGAUUCUGCCAGUCUGAGUCAUCCACCUCACCGAGCCAGAAAGCAGAAAAGAGGUUACCAGGCGCUGGGGGUCAGGGUUUAAUGGGGACAGAGUUUCAGUCUGGGGAGAGAGAAGGUUCUGGAGGUGGAUGGUGGCGACGGUUGCACAGCAAUGUGAACGUGCUUCACGCCGCUCAACUGUGCCCUUCCAGAUGGUAAAACAGCACAUUUUAAGUGAUGUGUGUUUCACCAUGAAUCAAAAAUAAAGAAAAGCUUCUUUCUUCUCUUAAUACAAACUACUAGAUCACCACGUGAGAUUUGAUUGAGAAAAACGAAGGCAGCCUCUGGUUCGUGCACAGGUCGGACGUCCUCUCGGGCCCUGCUCAGCCCAGGGCCCUCUCUGCCCAUCAUCAGAUGUUACCAGCUGGGAGCCCCAGUGCCCCUGAGAACAGACCUGGAGAUCCCUGGGCUGCUGCCUGAGGCCUGCCUCACCUGUGGGGUGGCUUGUGGUGGUUCUUGGCAAGCACAGGGUGGCUGUACCCCCUUGCUGCCCUCAGUACCCACAGAACUGCAGGCACAGCCCCAGGACCCCAUUUGUCCUUGGAGUUGAACAUCCUCAGAAUGCUGUCAGUCCAAGUGCAGGACAGCCCGGGAGAGCUGACCCCGGGUCACAAUGCAGAGCUGUGAACAGGUGAGCCUGAACCACUCUGGGCCAAGUCACUCUCGAGGACUCCAAGCCCAGUCAGAGCCAGCCAUGGCCAGCUCUGGGCCCCUCACGUUCCCACCCUUGCCCAUCUCACUCAAAAGCCUGACCGUUGUCCCCACGGGGAGCACCACAGGGUCAGGCUAGGCCUUCCCUUCUGAGAGCACCUCCAGGCCCUGUCUCUCUCCAGCCACGUGAUGUGCACAGGUGGCUCUGCCCUCUGCUUCAUCUGGGAAACGGGGUUACGGGGUACAGAGGUGGACCCGCAUGUCUGCACGUCCUCACCCUGCCGUCUCCCACCUGGCUCCAACAGGCAGGUCUGGUGCCUGGAACAAGGCCAAGGUCACCUCCCUGUCCUGCCCUCUCACCCCCCACAGCCUCAGAGUCACCAUCUGAACGGUGAUUUCAUACGCCAAAUUCUUUAUUUCCAACAUAUAGCACCUUAACCUUUUGAAAACUUUUAAUUACUAAAUUUUUCAAACAUGCCAAAAAUGUCAUCAACACUCACUUUCCAUGAUUACAGACUUAAGACCAAUCUUGUCUCCUCUGUAGCCCUCCCACAGCCCCUUCCCCCAGAUCACGCUUCAGUAAAUCUGAGACAUUGCAUCAUUUUGUCUGUAAACAUUUCCGCAUGUACCUCUAAGAGAGCAGGACCAUUUUGAAAACCAUACCCACAACAGCUCUGGACAACAAGAAUUUGUAGCUAUUCACUACCUAGGCUUUUUUGCUGUUUCUUGGCAGGAAGAAUGAUCAGCUUUGGUGCCGGCUUUCUGCGACAGGUUGACUUGUCCGAGUCUUUGCUAAGAAACCAGGCCACCGUCUCCGAUUCCCUCACUGUUUGUAGAACAGAACGAGUUGUUUAUUUGGAGCUGUUUCUUGUGGUCUGGGUUUUGCUGGCUGCAUCCUAAUGGUACAUUUGUCCCUGUUCCUCUGUCCCUGGUGUGUCCUGUGUGUUGGAUCAGGGGCUCCAUGAGAUUCAGAUUCAAUGGCUUUGCUCCAAGGAUGCCACGAGGCUGUGUGCACACCAGGGCUCACCUCACACCUAACUCUCUCCCCUUCGUGACCCCAGCAGCUGUCAAGAAUCCAUGCCUACAUCCAUUGAUUUAUGAGGAUUGCACCUGAUGGGUGGUAUUCUGACCAUCCUGCUCCUUCUUCACUUAUUGAUGAACAUUUCUGGGCUGAGACACUGCCUUUUAUCUACUCUUGGGUUAUUCUAAAGUACCGUUUGAAUAGAAAAGGCAGGAAAAAUACUCCAUUCCUUUCCUCUAAAGGGUCAUGGGCUCAGACUGGAGGAAGUGUGUGACUCUUGGCCCCACACCAACAGCCCUCUAUGCCCUGCGCUGCAGGUGAGGACACUGUGGCCGCUACGGCCAGAGCCAGAGCUGCCCACAGCUGCGUGGCGUGGGUCCCCUUCCCGUCCUCACGGGAGGUCAGAGUGGAGCAGGCUGUUCCUAAGGACCCCUUGAAGAACUUCUUCUGCAACUUUUUUUUUCUUUGAGACAGUUGUCACCCA